UAAUUAACAAACGCAAUAGGUGCCUAGUUUUUAUUAGGUGAAAAGGGAAAUAGGUGUAAGUCCUAUACGAACUCGUCACUGUAAAUAGAUAUUUUUUACGAAGCCACUGAGCAAUUGGGAAGGUGUAAAAAGCAAAUCUAUAAGUCAGGAGACCUGCCUAUUGUUAUACAAAAGCG
rnacentral:ncRNA from 23 species